rnacentral:rRNA from 1 species
GAUGAACGCUGGCGGCGUGCUUAACACAUGCAAGUCGAACGGAAAGGCUCCUGCUUGCAGGGGUACUCGAGUGGCGAACGGGUGAGUAACACGUGGGUGAUCUGCCCUGCACUUCGGGAUAAGCCUGGGAAACUGGGUCUAAUACCGGAUAGGACCACAUUUUGGAUGGUGUGGUGGAAAGUUUUUCGGUGUGGGAAGAGCUCGCGGCCUAUCAGCUUGUUGGUGGGGUAAUGGCCUACCAAGGCGUCGACGGGUAGCCGGCCUGAGAGGGUGUACGGCCACAUUGGGACUGAGAUACGGCCCAGACUCCUACGGGAGGCAGCAGUGGGGAAUAUUGCACAAUGGGCGCAAGCCUGAUGCAGCGACGCCGCGUGGGGGAUGACAGCCUUCGGGUUGUAAACUCCUUUCGCUAGGGACGAAGCGUUUUUGUGACGGUACCUGGAGAAGAAGCACCGGCUAACUACGUG